GCGUUAAGUUGCAGGGUAUAGACCCGAAACCCGGUGAUCUAGCCAUGGGCAGGUUGAAGGUUGGGUAACACUAACUGGAGGACCGAACCGACUAAUGUUGAAAAAUUAGCGGAUGACCUGUGGCUGGGGGUGAAAGGCCAAUCAAACCGGGAGAUAGCUGGUUCUCCCCGAAAGCUAUUUAGGUAGCGCCUCGUGAAUUCAUCUCCGGGGGUAGAGCACUGUUUCGGCUAGGGGGCCAUCCCGGCUUACCAACCCGAUGCAAACUGCGAAUACCGGAGAAUGUUAUCACGGGAGACACACGGCGGGUGCUAACGUCCGUCGUGAAGAGGGAAACAACCCAGACCGCCAGCUAAGGUCCCAAAGUCAUGGUUAAGUGGGAAACGAUGUGGGAAGGCCCAGACAGCCAGGAUGUUGGCUUAGAAGCAGCCAUCAUUUAAAGAAAGCGUAAUAGCUCACUGGUCGAGUCGGCCUGCGCGGAAGAUGUAACGGGGCUAAACCAUGCACCGAAGCUGCGGCAGCGACACUGUGUGUUGUUGGGUAGGGGAGCGUUCUGUAAGCCUGUGAAGGUGUGUCGUGAGGCAUGCUGGAGGUAUCAGAAGUGCGAAUGCUGACAUAAGUAACGAUAAAGCGGGUGAAAAGCCCGCUCGCCGGAAGACCAAGGGUUCCUGUCCAACGUUAAUCGGGGCAGGGUGAGUCGACCCCUAAGGCGAGGCCGAAAGGCGUAGUCGAUGGGAAACGGGUUAAUAUUCCCGUACUUGGUGUUACUGCGAAGGGGGGACGGAGAAGGCUAUGUUGGCCGGGCGACGGUUGUCCCGGUUUAAGCGUGUAGGUGUGUGUUCCAGGUAAAUCCGGUUCACUUUAACACUGAGGCGUGACGACGAGGCACUACGGUGCUGAAGCAACAAAUGCCCUGCUUCCAGGAAAAGCCUCUAAGCAUCAGGUAACAUCAAAUCGUACCCCAAACCGACACAGGUGGUCAGGUAGAGAAUACCAAGGCGCUUGAGAGAACUCGGGUGAAGGAACUAGGCAAAAUGGUGCCGUAACUUCGGGAGAAGGCACGCUGACACGUAGGUGAAGUGAUUUACUCAUGGAGCUGAAGUCAGUCGAAGAUACCAGCUGGCUGCAACUGUUUAUUAAAAACACAGCACUGUGCAAACACGAAAGUGGACGUAUACGGUGUGACGCCUGCCCGGUGCCGGAAGGUUAAUUGAUGGGGUCAGCGCAAGCGAAGCUCCUGAUCGAAGCCCCGGUAAACGGCGGCCGUAACUAUAACGGUCCUAAGGUAGCGAAAUUCCUUGUCGGGUAAGUUCCGACCUGCACGAAUGGCGUAAUGAUGGCCAGGCUGUCUCCACCCGAGACUCAGUGAAAUUGAACUCGCUGUGAAGAUGCAGUGUACCCGCGGCAAGACGGAAAGACCCCGUGAACCUUUACUAUAGCUUGACACUGAACAUUGAGCCUUGAUGUGUAGGAUAGGUGGGAGGCUUUGAAGUGUGGACGCCAGUCUGCAUGGAGCCGACCUUGAAAUACCACCCUUUAAUGUUUGAUGUUCUAACGUGGACCCGUUACCCGGGUUGCGGACAGUGUCUGGUGGGUAGUUUGACUGGGGCGGUCUCCUCCUAAAGAGUAACGGAGGAGCACGAAGGUUGGCUAAUCCUGGUCGGACAUCAGGAGGUUAGUGCAAUGGCAUAAGCCAGCUUGACUGCGAGCGUGACGGCGCGAGCAGGUGCGAAAGCAGGUCAUAGUGAUCCGGUGGUUCUGAAUGGAAGGGCCAUCGCUCAACGGAUAAAAGGUACUCCGGGGAUAACAGGCUGAUACCGCCCAAGAGUUCAUAUCGACGGCGGUGUUUGGCACCUCGAUGUCGGCUCAUCACAUCCUGGGGCUGAAGUAGGUCCCAAGGGUAUGGCUGUUCGCCAUUUAAAGUGGUACGCGAGCUGGGUUUAGAACGUCGUGAGACAGUUCGGUCCCUAUCUGCCGUGGGCGCUGGAGAACUGAGGGGGGCUGCUCCUAGUACGAGAGGACCGGAGUGGACGCAUCACUGGUGUUCGGGUUGUCAUGCCAAUGGCACUGCCCGGUAGCUAAAUGCGGAAGAGAUAAGUGCUGAAAGCAUCUAAGCACGAAACUUGCCCCGA
rnacentral:rRNA from 1 species